UUGCUAGCAUCCUUGCAGGGUAUGAAAAUACAGAAAUAAAUAAGCCAGGGCAAGUGAAAGACAAUUCAGUUUCCUGACUAGAUUCUAUCCAAUUGCAGAUGUUUUGCAAGUACGAAAAUGACAUCUUGACAAUUUUGGGAGAAUAUAUAAGAAGAAAUAGAAGAAGAAAUGACAAGCUUGACACCAUUCAUGAUGGGCUACAGCUAAAUUGCGAUGAAAUGGAGGGUCUGUUGCUAAGUAAAUCAUCAACUGAAUCUGAAAAGGAAUGACAAGACUGCAAGGAUUGUGGUUGAAAUGAGAAUACUGGAACUUUAUUGUAUUACACAUUCUUGUUCAAAGACAUGAUAAAAUACUGUACUGCGAAAUAAAUAAAACUGUAUUUCCAA